CACGCCAGACCGCCGCUGGUGCAAUCUGGGAAACCAGGCACUGGAGGAACGUCCGGACUGCACAGGACAGCGUAGCAGCUAACGGCUGCCCACCGUGAGGUGAGGAUCAGAGCAACAGAGACGAGUCGGAGCAGGCUGCAAGCCACCGAAGGUGUUCUAUUGGUCGCCCGCGCAAGCGGGCACGGCUGGCGCAAGCCAGACGGUUUGCGGCGCAAGCCGCAAAGACCAUAGCCACCCGAAGCGGGCGGCGCCCGCUUCGGGUGAAACGGGCAAUCUCUACGCGCAGCAAUACCAAGUAGGUCAGCGUUGAUGUGGUUCCGCAGAGCUGGCGGGUAGGUAGCACCGAGCCGUGGUGGCGACACCCGGCCCAGAUUAAUGGCGGUCACACUUCGGGCAACCGUGGUGCACAGAAUCCGGCUUAUCGGCGUGCUUCACAC
rnacentral:RNase_P_RNA from 1 species